GUGUCGGUGCCCGAGGGCUGCGAGCCGCAAUCCCGGCUCGGUCCUUCAUCGUUCCGAGGCUCUGGGCCCUCGGGCACAGAACGGCGCUGUUCUGGAUGAGGGAAGGGUAAAGAAGGCGAGGAGCUUGGAAGCUGUGUGAGCCUGGAAGGGGGAGCCGCAGAGAGAAGAAUAGUGAUGGUCCCAGUUGUGCAGCCCAGGCUCCCCAGCAAGCACAGAGCCCAGGAUCCCUCAGCCUUUCUCUGCAGUGACCACAUGUGCCCCUGGGCAGGGCUGAAGAUGCCUCUGUUCUCCAGGAAGAAGAAACCCAGCGAAGAUGCUCGGAAACGCCUCGAGUACCAAAUGUGCCUGGCAAAAGAAGCUGGUGCUGAUGACACCCUUGACAUAUCCAGAUGUGAGCUCUCAGAGGUUCCUUAUGGGGCUUUUGCAACUUGCAAGGUCUUGCAAAAAAAGGUGCUGAUUAUUCAUACCAAUAAUCUGACAUCCUUAGUUCCAAAGUCCUGCAGCCUCCUGAGUCUUAUAACUGUGAAGGUUCUGGAUCUGCAUGACAACCAGCUGGCAUCACUUCCUGCUGAUAUUGGUCAGCUGACAGCUCUUCAGGUCCUAAACCUUGAAAGGAAUCUUUUAAAAAGCCUUCCACAAUCUAUAGGAGACCUUGCACAGCUCCAGGUCCUCAAUGUGAAAGGGAACCAGCUGAGGGCGCUGCCCGGGAGCGUGAGCGGCCUGCGGAGCCUGCGGGCUCUGGAUGUCAGCGGGAACGAGCUGCAGGAGCUGCCCCGGGGGCUGGCCCACGCCCGCAGCCUGCAGACUCUGACCCUGGAUGCCUCUGCCAUGACCUACCCACCCCCUGAGAUCUGCAGUGCAGGCACAGAGGCCAUCCAGCAGUUCCUCUGCACAGAGUGUGGAAUUGCAUACUCCCCUCCCUCACAGCACCUGCCCCCCACGCUGGAGAGCGAUGGAGGAGGAACUUCAGUGGAUGGGGUGGACAGCACAGUGGAGAAGUACCUGGAGGAGGAGAGUGAGUGGCAGAACAAAUUCUUGGAUUAUGAGAAGAGGAAGGAAAGAAAAACUCAGGAGAAGCUGGAGUUUGAGCGGCGCCUGAACGUGGGGCAGCGAGAGCAGGCCCUGCUGGUGCAGCAGCUCAACAGCCACAAGGAUGAGAUCCUGCAGACAGUGAGAGAGGAGCAGCAGAGGCUGGAGCAGGGGCUGUCGAGGCACCAGCGCUGUUUGGAGGAGGAGAGGCUGAAGCUGCUGCAGCAGCUGAAGGACACAGAGCAGGGCAUUGCCAGCCGGAUCCAGAAGCUGCUGGAGGACAACCAGAGGCAAAAACGAAGUUCAGACAUUUUGAAGUCCCUGGAGAAUGAGAGAAUCAGGAUGGAGCAGCUGAUGGCAAUAACCCAGGAGGAGACGGAGCAGCUGCGCAGGAGGGAAGUGGCCUCUGCCAUGCAGCAGAUGCUGGCUGAGACCUACAAGAACAAACUCCUCCAAAUGACCUCGGAGUCUCGCCGGCAGGACCUCGUCAGCCAGGCCUGCUCCAGCCUGGCUGAGAUGGAUCAGAAGUUCCAGCAGAUCCUGGCUUGGCAGCAGCUGGACCAGAGCAAAGCUGUCAGUGAGAUCUUGCAGCAGGUUGAGAUGCAGAAAACUGCCUUUGAAGCUCUCCAGGUGAAGAAGGAUCUUAUGCACAGGCAGAUCAGGAACCAGAUUAAAUUAAUAGAAACAGAGUUAUUGCAGCUGACACAGCUGGAGGUAAAGAGGCAAGAACUGGACACAGAGACACUGCAGGAGGCAAUCACGGAGCAGCGCCGGGCACUCGGCUCCCUCCUGCAGCAGCUGCUCAAGGAGAAGAAGCAAAGGGAGGAGGAACUGCAGCAAAUCCUGCUGGAAAUGGAGGCAAAGAGCGAAACCAAGCAGGAGAACUAUUGGCUGAUCCAGUACCAGCGCCUGCUGAACCAGAAGCCCCUGUCCCUGAAGCUCCAGGAGAAGGGUUUGGAGCAGCAGCUGGUGGCCCUGCUGCUGGAGCUCUCUGCUGAGCAGUACGUGCCCAUCUUCGCUCACCACCGAAUAUCCCUGGACACGCUGGGCACCAUGAGUGCCAGUGACCUGGAGAAGCUCGGUGUGACAGAGGCUGGGCUGCAGCAUGCCAUCCUCAGGCGGGCUCGGGAGAUCCUGGCUGUGGCCACGACCAUCCCAGAGCUGCGGAGGGCAGAGGAGAGCGAGGCCCCUGCGGGCCCCGAGCCCAGCGCUCCCCUGGAGGAGCCCCCGGGCCCCGCGGCCCCCACGGCCCCGGCGCUGCCGGGGGACGAGCGGCAGUCGGAGUGCGUUGUGUGCAUGGAGCGGGAGCCCCAGAUGAUUUUCCUGCCCUGUGGCCACGUCUGCUGCUGCCAGGGCUGCUGCGAGCGGCUGCUCUCGUGCCCGCUGUGCCGCCAGGACAUCGCGCAGCGCGUCCGCAUCUUCCACAGCGCCUAGGGCGGCCCGGAGGCCCCGGCCCCGCUCGGGCUGUUCCCGCUGCCGCUCCUGUCCCCGGAACAGCCCGCGGCUGGCACUGCCCUCCCCACGCUGGGAGCCCCUGCAUCCCCCUCGCAGCUCCCCGGGGCUCCUGCAGUGAAUCCCUUCGCCCUUGGUCCCCGUGCCUGGGUGACAAACCGGGCGCAGCUGCGGCUCCUCCUCUCUGGCGGAGGUGUUUGCUGUCAGAAAGGCCCCGGGGGCUCGCAGGGACACGGGGAGCGCUUCCAGCAGUGCUGCACGGAGGGAGGGGAAUUUCCCGUGGGAUCAUUCGGUCAGGACAUGCCGUUCUUAGUGUGCUCACAGUGCCGUGCACCUCUGUCAUGCCAAAGGUCUGGGGCUUCGGCUCUGGAGCCCCACGGAAGCUGUCUGGGUCCGAGCCUUAGGAACUCCCCAGGCCCCGGUUCCUGCAACACCCCCGGGACUGGAGGGACCUGCCCUGGCCAGGGGAGCCCGUGGGGGUCCCUCAUCCACAAACCAGCUCUUGACCCUGAAAUAUAAAAAUGCUGCCACGAGCCUUGCCCCACCACAGCCUUCCCCAGGAGCAGCCAUUAAAUGCAGCUGGUUUCUG